UAAAACCCUAUGAGACAAAAACACCUGACAAGUGGCAAUGUUCAGCAAAAGUCUCCAGCUACACAAGAGAAGCAGUUGAGAUAUCACAGAGAUCUUGUUUGUGAUUUUCUCUCUUGCAGGGUCUGAAGGGUCUCUGGUUUAAAGGUUAGUCAAAGUUCAGAUGAAGGUUUGCAGCACAGCAGAUAAAUGACUGACACAGACACACGUUCCUUAUCAGUUUCAGCUGUGAUCAUGUGAUGCUUCACGAGAGUCACAGUGACUCAUCAUAAUCACAUCGCAGUGACUUUCCACUGGGUUUGAUGGAUGUGCAGUUCACUUUAACACACUCAUCAUCCCUGUUCCCAUGAUAUCAAUCAGUCAUGUAACACAAUAAACAUCAGCUGAAUAUUUGAGAACAACAGAGUGAUUCAAUCCUAAUUCCCACAAUGCUAGGCUGUUGUGAUUUGUUGCUUGUGGUUGCUACACAUCUGCCAAGACAUUCAGUAGUGUCUGCAUAGCUAAAGAAAUAUAUAUCAAUUCUAGCAGCCAAGGAAAACCCCCAACCAUCCUAAAACACCAUAUCAACCAAUUAGCAACCCAAAACAUCCUAGCUACCUCCUAGCGACAUUCUUCAGAACAAAUCCUCAAAGCUCCCAGGACACAGGGUAUGUUUUCUGGCCCGUGUCGAGUAUUUUGGGCUCAGUUCUGAUCUGGUGGACUGCUGUGUCAGCAGGUGUUGACAGCUCAGACCCUUCACACGACUCACGCUGACUGAGAUUAGCACUAAUCCAGACACAUAAUCUGACUCACAUGCAGCUGAAAGAGGCUUGUGUUUGCUCGCAGAGUUUCACUGUACUACAGCAGUCAUGUGCACCACAAUCAUGGUCCUGAGCACCAUUGCUCUCCUGCUGAGACGGAUGUUCAUCAAUCGAGUCAAACCACAACCAGAUGUGAAUGGGACAAAGGAAAAGCCGCAUGAGAACGAUGCAACAUCUUCAAAAGACGACUGAUAAGAGACAUCACUCAUCCAUCUGAGAUUGUGAGGAUAAAAAGAAACUCAGUUCAUCCUGUGAGGAUCUUCCAGGGGACAUUUCACAAAGUAAAUGGUCAUCCUGAAAUAUUGAAGAGCACUGUCAGAUUGAAUACAAGACGACACGAGCAAAAGGGUCUCAUGCGAAUCCACUGGAUGCCUCCAUUCCCAACACAGCGAGGAUGGUUUGAACUGGACACAGGAGAAAAAUAACAUAUUUAUUAGAGGACAGUGAAAAGAAAAGUGCUUUCAAGAGCUAUGAACUAGCCUGCUCCAUUUUAGACUGAAAGUGCUGUGAGCGGAUGAACACAGAUGCAGUGUCCUAUAAAUCAUUCAUACACAACAACCAGCCAUCAGCUGCAUGCAGGACUGGACCAGCAGAGCCCUUCAUCAUCAUCAUCAUCAUCAUCAUCAUCCGGACGUGUUAUUAACUGACACAGGAGAAGGAAAGAGUGUGCUGCUGAAAGAGAUUUAAAUGAGUAACAGAGGCUCGUCUGAUGAGCGUCUCACUGGAGGAGGCAGUUUAGAGCAUGAAACAUUGAUGUCUUCACAUGUCAGCUCUUUCUGUGGAUGUGUGUGUGUGUUUCCCACGCUUCACUGAUCUCACACACACACCUGCUCCACAGCACUCAGUUCUUCAGCUCAGCACACUCUAGACUGUUGUAAUGGCCAAUCAAAAUUAAUUAUUGAUCAAUUUCAACAGAGAUCUCUUUAAUAUCUCAAUAGUCUCUCUCAGUAAUGACAUUAAAUGAAGAUCAAACUUCAUUUCUCCUUAUUAUUCUCCUGAGGCCCUCAGUAAGCCCAUCUUCACCACACUAAAAAUAAAUGCUUUGGUAAAUCAUAAUUAUGAGAUAAAAUGUCGAAAUUAUGAGAUACAAAGCCAUAAUAAUGAGACCAGAAGUCAAAAUUAUGAGAUUAAAAACUGAAUUAUGAAAAAUCGAAAUGAUGAGAUAAGUAGCAAUUAUGAGACAAAAAUUCA
ensembl:lncRNA